rnacentral:rRNA from 1 species
CUAUCUGCCGUGGACGUUUGAGAUUUGAGAGGGGCUGCUCCUAGUACGAGAGGACCGGAGUGGACGAACCUCUGGUGUUCCGGUUGUCACGCCAGUGGCAUUGCCGGGUAGCUAUGUUCGGAAAAGAUAACCGCUGAAAGCAUCUAAGCGGGAAACUUGCCUCAAGAUGAGAUCUCACUGGGAACGUGAUUCCCCUGAAGGCCGUCGAAGACUACGACGUUGAUAGGCUGGGUGUGUAAGCGUUGUGAGGCGUUGAGCUAACCAGUACUAAUUGCCCGUGAGGCUUGACCAU